CUCUGCCUGCGGGACUCAAACCGUGGGGGCACUUUCUGGCGUCUGGAGUAGAGUGCCGCCAGGGUUUGAGUGUUGCCGGUGGG
rnacentral:pre_miRNA from 1 species